rnacentral:rRNA from 1 species
AGAGACAGCAGCCGCCGCGGUAAUACGAAGGGUGCAAGCGUUACUCGGAAUUACUGGGCGUAAAGCGUGCGUAGGUGGUGGUUUAAGUCCGUUGUGAAAGCCCUGGGCUCAACCUGGGAAUUGCAGUGGAUACUGGGUCACUAGAGUGUGGUAGAGGAUAGUGGAAUUUCCGGUGUAGCAGUGAAAUGCGUAGAGAUCGGAAGGAACAUCUGUGGCGAAGGCGACUAUCUGGGCCAACACUGACACUGAGGCACGAAAGCGUGGGGAGCGAACAGGAUUAGAUACCCCCGUAGUCCCUGUCUCUUAUAC